GUGAUGUCGUUUGCCAUUAUUUUCCUUUCUCGUACCGCAUAGCAUUAGAUGGAGAAGGUGCGUGAUCCUUGCAGGAAGCAGAAGUUUGCACAAAAGUUGAAAAAGGAAUUUUGACUUCCAACUGAGUUGCUAUCGCUCAGGGGCCCAGACUUGCUGCUGUUAAGAACUGGCAGGGAUCAUGUGCUAAAUGCCUGUGACAAGAGGAAACAAAGCUACAGACAUGCUAAUGAUUCUCAUUGGGGAGGAAAUGAGGGCUGCUGAAGAACAUGCAGUAGGACAUUGAUCUUUACAAAUCACCCUGGGAAGAAACAACCAAGGCUCUUCUAAUCAGACUUGAAUUUGAGUUGACUACUUGAACAGGCUGAGGUCCUGCUGCUGCCCAAAACUGAAGCCAUGGAUGGAGUGCAACUGAGUACAAUGUUUGGAGAAUGGUCACCAAUUUGCCUCAGUUCAUGAGAUUUAAGCGCUUGCUUGGUAAGAUAUACCUCUGUAGCUGCUGUUGUAUCCUGCUGGAUUUUGUUCUGGCAUGUAGUCACUUGCUAUUAGCUGUGUUAAGUGUCUUUUAUCUUCUUUCCAUGCUUGGGAAGCUGCUGGUGAAGCUGCUGGAUCAGCUCUCAGUGUAAGGCUGUCUUCCUCUUAGCAGGGG